rnacentral:rRNA from 1 species
ACUCAAUAGAUACCCGGGUAGUCCACGCCGUAAACUAUGGAUGCUAGCUGUUAUCGGUAUCGACCCCGGUAGUAGCGAAAGCUAAACGUGUUAAGCAUCCCGCCUGUGGAGUACGAGCGCAAGCUUAAAACAUAAAGGAAUUGACGGGGACCCGCACAAGCGGUGGAGCGUGUUGCUUAAUUCGACGGUAAACGAAGAACCUUACCCAGGCCUGACAUCCUGCUAAGAUUUCCGAAAGGAAAUUGUGCCUUCGGGCCGCAGUGACAGGUGCUGCAUGGUCGUCGUCAGCUCGUGUCGUGAGAUGUUUGGUUAAGUCCAUCAACGAGCGCAACCCUUAUAGUCAGUUGGAUUUUCUGGCUAGACUGCCCCGGUAACGGGGAGGAAGGAGGGGAUGAUGUCAGAUCAUUAUUGCCCUUACGUCUGGGGCUACAAACACGCUACAAUGGCCGGUACAAAGGGCAGCCAACCCGCGAGGGGAGCAAAUCCCAUCAAAGCCGGUCUCAGUUCGGAUUGUAGGCUGAAACUCGCCUGCAUGAAGCUGGAA